UAAUACCAGCAGCCCUAGUGGUGAUCGUUAUUAUUGGGCCUAAAACGUCCGUAGCCGGCUCAGUAAAUUCUUGGGUAAAUCGGGGGGCUCAACCUUCCGAAUUCCGAGGAGACUGCUGGGCUUGGGACCGGGGGAGGUCAGAGGUACUUCGGGGGUAGGGGUGAAAUCCUGUAAUCCCCGAGGGACCACCAGUGGCGAAGGCGUCUGACUAAAACGGAUCCGACGGUAAGGGACGAAGCCUUGGGGCGCAAACGGGAUUAGAUACCCCGGUAGUCCAAGGUGUAAACGCUGCGGGCUUGGUGUUGGGGGUCCUACGAGGGCGUCCAGUGCCGGAGUGAAGAUGUUAAGCCCGCUGCCUGGGGAGUACGGUCGCAAGACUG
rnacentral:rRNA from 1 species